rnacentral:rRNA from 1 species
CCUACGGGAGGCAGCAGUGGGGAAUUCUUAGACAAUGGGCGCAAGCCUGAUCUAGCCAUGCCGCGUGAGUGACGAAGGCCUUAGGGUCGUAAAGCUCUUUCGCCAGAGAUGAUAAUGACAGUAUCUGGUAAAGAAACCCCGGCUAACUCCGUGCCAGCAGCCGCGGUAAUACGGAGGGGGUUAGCGUUGUUCGGAAUUACUGGGCGUAAAGCGUACGUAGGCGGAUUGGAAAGUAGGGGGUGAAAUCCCAGGGCUCAACCCUGGAACUGCCUCCUAAACUAUCAGUCUAGAGUUCGAGAGAGGUGAGUGGAAUUCCAAGUGUAGAGGUGAAAUUCGUAGAUAUUUGGAGGAACACCAGUGGCGAAGGCGGCUCACUGGCUCGAUACUGACGCUGAGGUACGAAAGUGUGGGGAGCAAACAGGAUUAGAUACCCUGGUAGUCCACACCGUAAACGAUGAAUGCCAGACGUCGGGGGGCUUGCCCUUCGGUGUCACACCUAAACGGAU